rnacentral:lncRNA from 1 species
AUUUAUUAGUACAGCUGAUAAAAUCGUAAUAUAUAAAAGAUCAUGAAGUGUACAUAUAUUUCCUGCAAGGAUAUAAUGAGGAUAAGGAGGAAUUAAGGCUAUAGAUAGAAUAUACUGAAUAUAGAGAAGGACCGAGAGAGCAGCUGUCAGCUGUGCACGAUGACAUCACACGUAAGCUGAACACGGUUAACUAAAUGUGAUAACUAAAAACGAGAAUGACGCGUGUAAAAUCUACGUACCCCUAUAGAGAUGCAGUUAUCCUCGCCGCCGGAUGGGAAUUUUACGAUGAAUUUCGAGCCAGCCUUCUCCUCGGAGUCGUUCAAAGGUCGAAAUCUACAGACUACCUUGAUACUGUCCUCCGCGGCAAUCUCACGCUCCCUCGGCGUCUCCAUUGCCAUAUUUCGGGUGCAUAGGCGACGAGAUGGUCGCGUGAACCGCAUCAAGAACCACUACCGUCUUCUCUGUCACAAACCACAGCCCGUUUUGGAGCCAGCAAAGAUGGCUGCCGUUGUUCGACGAUUUUGCGGGUGGGUUGAUUUGCGUGUGCAAAGGUGAGAAUCAACGAUCGUACUUAUGUUAGACUGGUGAAGAAACAUGGACGAUAUAAGGUGUG